rnacentral:rRNA from 1 species
GAAACCAACAGGGAUUGCCUCAGUAACGGCGAGUGAAGCGGCAAAAGCUCAGAUUUUAAAUCCAGUGUCUUUGGGACAUUUGAGUUGUAAUCUGCAGAGAGGUGUUCCGAGCAGUAUCUUGGCUCAAGUUCCUUGGAACAGGAUGUCAUGGAGGGUGAGAAUCCCGUGAAUGGCCUUGAUCUUACUUGCUCAUUGUGAACCUUCUUCAGCGAGUCGAGUUGUUUGGGAAUGCAGCUCUAAAUGGGUGGUAAAUUUCAUCUAAAGCUAAAUACUGGCAGGAGACCGAUAGCGCACAAGUAGAGUGAUCGAAAGAUGAAAAGAACUUUGGAAAGAGAGUUAAAUAGUACGUGAAAUUGUUGAAAGGGAAGCACUUGCUCCCAGACUUGCCUGUGGCUGAUCAGCCUUCAUUCUUUGGAGGUGCACUCGGCUAUUUUGGGCAGGCCAGCAUCAGUUUAGACAGAGGGAAAAAGACUGGGGGAAUGUGACUUUCCUUGGAAAGUGUUAUAGCCUCUGGUGCAAUAUCUCUAGUCCUGGACUGAGGACCGCGCUGCAAAGUGAGGAUGCUGGCAUAAUGGUCGUAAGUGACCCGUCUUGAAACACGGACCAAGGAGUCUAACAGCUGUGCGAGUGUUUGGGUGCUUAAACCCUUGCGCGGAAUGAAAGUGAAUGGAGGUGGGAACUGUCACAAGUGCACCAUCGACCGAUCCUGAAGUCUUCUGAUGGAUUUGAGUAGGAGCAUAGCUGUUGGGACCCGAAAGAUGGUGAACUAUGCCUGAAUAGGGUGAAGCCAGAGGAAACUCUGGUGGAGGCUCGCAGCGGUUCUGACGUGCAAAUCGAUCGUCAAAUUUGGGUAUAGGGGCGAAAGACUAAUCGAACCAUCUAGUAGCUGGUUCCGGCCGAAGUUUCCCUCAGGAUAGCAGUAACGAACAGUAGUUUUAUGAGGUAAAGCGAAUGAUUAGAGGCCUUGGGGUUGGAACAACCUUAACCUAUUCUCAAACUUUAAAUAUGUAAGAAGUCCCUGUUGCUUAGUUGAACGAGGACAUUGGAAUAUGCGUUACUAGUGGGCCAUUUUUGGUAAGCAGAACUGGCGAUGCGGGAUGAACCGAACGUGAGGUUAAGGUGCCAGAAUGCACGCUCAUCAGAUCCCACAAAAGGUGUUAGUUCAUCUUGACAGCAGGACGGUGGCCAUGGAAGUUGGAAUCCGCUAAGGAGUGUGUAACAACUCACCUGCCGAAUGAACUAGCCCUGAAAAUGGAUGGCGCUCAAGCGUGUUACCUAUACCUCGCCGCCAUGGUAGAAACCAUGCCAUGGCGAGUAGGCCGGCGUAGAGGUCAGUGACGAAGCCUUGGAGUGAUC